GACGAACGCUGGCGGCGUGCUUAACACAUGCAAGUCGAACGGAAAGGCCCUGCUUUUGUUGGUUGCUCGAUUGGCGAACGGGUGAGUAACACGUGAGUAACCUGCCCUUAUCUUUCUGAUAACUUCAGGAAACUCGGGCUCAUACCGGAUAGAAGCUCCUGAUGCGUGUGGUGGGUUGGAGAGUUUCGGCGGUGCGGGAUGGACUGGCGGCUUAUCAGCUUGUUGGUCGAGUUGUGGCUUACGAGGGCUUUGACGGGUAGCCGGCCUGAGAGGGUGACCGGCGACAUUGGGACUGAGAUACGGCCCAGACUCCUACGGGAGGCAGCAGUGGGGAAUAUGGCACAAUGGGCGGAAGCGUGAUGCAGCAACGCCGCGUGCGGGAUGACGGCCUUCGGGUUGUAAACCGCUUUCGCCUGUGACGAAGCGUGAGUGACGGUAAUGGGUAAAGAAGCACCGGCUAACUACGUG
rnacentral:rRNA from 1 species